UUCCAGACUCCUACGGGAGGCAGCAGUGAGGAAUAUUGGUCAAUGGGCGCAGGCCUGAACCAGCCAAGUCGCGUGGGGGAAGACUGCCCUAUGGGUUGUAAACCUCUUUUAUAAGGGAAGAAUAAUGACUACGUGUAGUCAGAUGCCCGUACCUUAUGAAUAAGCAUCGGCUAACUCCGUGCCAGCGGCCGCGGUAAUACGGAGGAUGCGAGCGUUAUCCGGAUUUAUUGGGUUUAAAGGGUGCGCAGGCGGAUUUUUAAGUCAGCGGUCAAAUCGUGGGGCUCAACCCCAUCCAGCCGUUGAAACUGGGGAUCUAGAGUGUGCGAGAGGUAUGCGGAAUGCGUGGUGUAGCGGUGAAAUGCAUAGAUAUCACGCAGAACCCCGAUUGCGAAGGCAGCAUACCGGUGCACAACUGACGCUCAGGCACGAAAGCGUGGGUAUCGAACAGGAUUAGAUACCCGCGUA
rnacentral:rRNA from 1 species